GAUGAACGCUGACAGAAUGCUUAACACAUGCAAGUCGACCUGAAUUUGGGUUUUUAACUUAGGUUUGGGUGGCGGACGGGUGAGUAACGCGUAAAGAACUUGCCUCACAGCUAGGGACAACAUUUGGAAACGAAUGCUAAUACCUAAUAUUAUGAUAAUAGGGCAUCCUAUAAUUAUGAAAGCUAUAAGCGCUGUGAGAGAGCUUUGCGUCCCAUUAGCUAGUUGGAGAGGUAACGGCUCACCAAGGCGAUGAUGGGUAGCCGGCCUGAGAGGGUGAUCGGCCACAAGGGGACUGAGACACGGCCCUUACUCCUACGGGAGGCAGCAGUGGGGAAUAUUGGACAAUGGACCGAGAGUCUGAUCCAGCAAUUCUGUGUGCACGAUGAAGUUUUUCGGAAUGUAAAGUGCUUUCAGUUGGGAAGAAGCAAAUGACGGUACCAACAGAAGAAGUGACGGCUAAAUACGUG
rnacentral:rRNA from 1 species